CACUGGCUCAUCUCUGAAGUUUUUCCUGGGCAAAGCCAAGAACCCUCCCAGGCUAAGCCCCAGUUUGGGGGUUCACCUGCCCUGCAUCAAAACCAAGAAGAAACUAAUGAGGCUGGAUCCAAGACAGUGUGGAAUGAAAACCAAAUGCAAAUUGGCUAGAAGGAAGGGCCAGAAUAAACACAAACUGAAGACCCCAAACCAACGGUGUCCAAGCUUGUGCAUGUAUCUGCGCUGUCCCCAUGGGGCCUUCCAACUCUGCUCAAAGCAAUCUCCAGGGCUGUUCUCCAAGGACAAUGGGUGAGUUAGAGAGAAGAUCUCUUUGUGCUUCCUUCUUUGCUUUUUAAAUUUAAGGUGGACAUGAUCUCAGGGCUUUGUACAGAAAACCUCUGAGGGUCAGUUGAGUGACCCACUUACCCUGCCAUUCCCCACCCUGCUGGGGUCCUCCUGCUACUUCAACUCCAUCACCACAGAGACUCAAUUCCUGCGCUCUGAGGUUCAAAUCUGCAUCUGCUGAAGAAUCUUCCAGAACUGCAACUCCCAUCUGCACUGGGAGCAUGUCUGGCCCACACCAGCUCAAGCACUGUGUGAAGGGUCCCAGUUAUUCAGUGUGAAAUUGUGUAAGACUUUCUCCUGGAGACAGGACCUUUGCAAUCACAGCUUGGGGAAUUGUCUUUACAAUAACCACUUCCUCUUAGGGAGUCAGCAGCCUGGGCUCAAAUCCUGCUUGGUCACUAAGAUAGUUUUGUGACUCUAGACAAGUCACAGCACCCCUCUUAGCCUACAUUUCUUCAUCCAUUCAACAAAUAUUCACAUAGCAGCUACCGGCACCAGGAAUAGAGAGGGGAGCAUGAUUGAUAAAUCAUCUUAGAAUUUAUGAUUGCAUUAUGGGAGUUACUCAGUAAAUGAGUUUUUAAAAAUCAGGGGGAGGGGGAAAACCUUUGAAGAACAAUUUGGCAAGAUCUAGAAAAGCUGAAAUUUGACUUCUCUUUGACCCAGUAAGUCUACUCUUAGGUAUAUACCCUAGAGAAAUUCUUAAACAUUCCCACAGGACAAAGAAUGAAUGUAAAAGAAUUUAAAUGACAACUCAUAAGAAAAUGAAAAAUGUGCGAUAUGUUCGUACAAUGGUAUAGAGCAGUAAAAAUGAAUGACCUAGAGCUGCACAUUUCAACAUGGACUAUCUCAUAAGCAUAACUGAAGAAUGUUGCAGAAAAAUAUGUAAAGUUUAAUGCCAUCUGUGUAGAGUUAAAAUGGACAAAUAUUAGAUACUAUUUAGUGGCAAGAGUAUUUUUUACAUGCAUGGGCAUUAAUAAGACCAAAUUAGAUUAGUGCUUUCUUCUGUGGAGGGAGGAAAGAGGAUGGAACUGGGGAGUAAUACAUAGGCGGUAUUAACUGUAUUGAUAAUGUUUUGUAUCUUAACCUACAUUGUGGUUACAUAGUUUUCAUUAUAAUAUUCUUAGGAUUUUGUGUCUAUAUUUUAAAUGUUGCCCUAUAAAAAUUUUAAAAUUUAUUAAAUAAUGAUAAGUGCUCUGAAGAAAAUAAACAUCUGAAGUGAUUGAGAGUGACUGGGGUUUGGUUGGGGGUACUGGAGAUUGGGUGGUCAAGGAAAGUUUCUCAGCAGAGGUACUGGGUUGAGCUGAAUCAUGACUGACAUGAAGGGAGCAGCCAUAACAGUAUCUAGGGGAGGAGCAUUGCAGGUGGAGAGAACAUCUAAUGCCAAGGGUCGUGAAUUGUAAAGGACCUAAGAUUUUACCCUCCUCGCAAGAUAGCAAGGUAGCCUGACUUAGUAGUGUGGAUGCUGACAGAAGACACAAGACUACUGGGUCAGAGCAAGAUAUGUUAUUAUUCACAGCAG
rnacentral:lncRNA from 1 species